rnacentral:tRNA from 1 species
ACCGCGCAAAAUCUGGAAAUGCACAUCAUUCGUAAUGAUGGGGUCGCGUGUUCGAGUCACGCAAGCGGCACCA